rnacentral:tRNA from 16 species
AGUGGUUCAGUGGUUAUGGAGCUAUGCUUGCAUGCCGGGGGUUGUUGGAUCGAACCCCGCUACAC